GUGCUCACUUUGGCAGGAGAUACUAAAACUGAAAUUGAAAUGAUAAGGAGAAGACUAGCAUGGCCCCUGAGAAAGAUAACAUGUUAAUUCACGAAGUAGUCCAUAUUUUA
ensembl:snRNA U6 U6 spliceosomal RNA